rnacentral:rRNA from 1 species
UACGAAGGGGGCUAGCGUUGCUCGGAAUCACUGGGCGUAAAGCGCACGUAGGCGGAUUGCUAAGUCAGGGGUGAAAUCCUGGAGCUCAACUCCAGAACUGCCUUUGAUACUGGCGAUCUUGAGUCCGGGAGAGGUGAGUGGAACUGCGAGUGUAGAGGUGAAAUUCGUAGAUAUUCGCAAGAACACCAGUGGCGAAGGCGGCUCACUGGCCCGGUACUGACGCUGAGGUGUGAAAGCGUGGGGAGCAAACAGG